rnacentral:lncRNA from 1 species
AUUCUCUCUCCAUUUUAGAGAGAGAGUUGAGAUGGAAAUUAUAAUUUUCUCUCGAUUUUAGAGAAACAGGUUUUUAUUUUUUUGUGAGGCAAAGGAUUUUGAUUCGUGUCAAUUUACGGCCUCUACCUCAAUUGGACAGAUGUGGCUCUCUUUACCUCUCUCAAAAAUGUGUUUCUUCCUCCCUGUCCUUCCGGGUGAGAGUGUAAAUAGAUUUUGAUCUGUGGUUUUUCGGCAGGAGAUAGUUAUUUGUGAGGGAGUCUCCAUUUUCCUACCAAAUAAUUUGGUUGCAUGUUUGUUUUCUUUUUCUCUUCCUUUGUGUUUUGCAGAUGGAGGAUUCCUGGCGGUGCUUUUUCUAGUUUGUUCUUCUGCCAUUAGGAAACGAUGGAGAGAUCUAUACUUUUCAAUCUCGUAAUCGACGCUUUUGUCCUAAGUUCUCAUUCCUUGGCUCGAGAGGAUGGUGGGUGGACUCGAUUGCAAAAGUCUCUUUUCUCUUUCUAUUGUAUUCAUCGUUCAUCUCUCAACCUUGCUAGGGCUGCAUGCGUUUUUCUGCUCGGUGCCAUCCUUUGUUUCUAUUGCUUUAGUUGCCGGAAAAGAACUACUGUUCGGAAAAAAAAAACUUAUUUCCUCUUAUCGGCCAUGGCAACUGAGUUUUUGGGUCUUAGGGUUUCUAUGUGUUUGAGUUGCCUCCAAAUAAAAGUUUG